CCGCACAAGCGGUGAGCAUGUGGUUAAUUCGAAGCAACGCGAAGAACCUUACCAGGUCUGACAUCCCGAUGCUAUUUCUAGAGAUAGAAAGUUACUUCGGUACAUCGGUGACAGGUGGUGCAUGGUUGUCGUCAGCUCGUGUCGUGAGAUGUUGGGUUAAGUCCCGCAACGAGCGCAACCCCUAUUGUUAGUUGCCAUCAUUCAGUUGGGCACUCUAGCGAGACUGCCGGUAAUAAACCGGAGGAAGGUGGGGAUGACGUCAAAUCAUCAUGCCCCUUAUGACCUGGGCUACACACGUGCUACAAUGGUUGGUACAACGAGUUGCGAGUCGGUGACGGCGAGCUAAUCUCUUAAAGCCAAUCUCAGUUCGGAUUGUAGGCUGCAACUCGCCUACAUGAAGUCGGAAUCGCUAGUAAUCGCGGAUCAGCACGCCCGCGGUCCGAAUACGUUCCGGGCCUU
rnacentral:rRNA from 1 species